rnacentral:rRNA from 1 species
GCUUGACUGUAUCUUGGAAUUGGGUUCGGGCUUUUCUUGCGCAGACUAGGUGGGAGGCUAUGAAGAUUUUCUUCUGGGAAAGUUGGAGCCAACAGUGAGAGACCACUCUGGAAAGGCUAGAAUCCCUAAUCGGUGAUCCUUGAAUCAGGACACUUGACAGUUUCAGGUGGGCAGUUUUUCUGGGCGGAAGCCUCAUAAAAGGUAACUGAGGCGCGCAAAGGUCCCCUCAGUCUGGACGGAAAUCAGACAUGUGAGUGUAAAGGCAAAAGGGGGCUGACUGCAAGACCCACAAGUCGAGCAGGGGCGAAAGCUGGCCUUAGUGAUCCGACGGUGCCGUGUGGAAGGGCCGUCGCUCAACGAAUAAAAGUUA